rnacentral:rRNA from 1 species
CCUACGGGAGGCAGCAGUGAGGAAUAGUGGUCAAUGGACGAGAGUCUGAACCAGCCAAGUAGCGUGAAGGAUGACUGCCCUAUGGGUUGUAAACUUCUUUUAUAGGGGAAUAAAAUGUGCCACGUGUGGGAUUUUGGAUGUACCAUAUGAAUAAGGAUCGGCUAACGCCGUGCCAGCAGCCGCGGUAAUACGGAGGAUCCGAGCGUUAUCCGGAUUUAUUUGGGUUAAAGGGAGCGUAGGUGGAUAGUUAAGUCAGUUGUGAAAGUUUGCGGCUCAACCGUAAAAUUGCAGUUGAUACUGGCAGUCUUGCGUCCAGUCUCGGUAGGCUGAUUUCGUUGUGUAGCGG